rnacentral:snoRNA from 8 species
CAGCACUGGCAAAUGACCCACUGGGCUCCUCCUUGACCAACUGGGCGUAGAACAGUGCAAAAAUAAAUCCCUCUGGAAAGCUGGGAGAGUCACACUGUAGGCUACUCCUGCAUGCAGGUGGGUACACAU